UACGAAGGGGGCUAGCGUUGCUCGGAAUGACUGGGCGUAAAGGGCGCGUAGGCGGUUUGUACAGUCAGAUGUGAAAUUCCCGGGCUCAACCUGGGGGCUGCAUUUGAUACGUGCGGACUUGAGUGGGGAAGAGGGUCGUGGAAUUCCCAGUGUAGAGGUGAAAUUCGUAGAUAUUGGGAAGAACACCGGUGGCGAAGGCGGCGACCUGGUCCUUGACUGACGCUGAGGAGCGAAAGCGUGGGGAGCGAACAGG
rnacentral:rRNA from 1 species